GUAGGGGGCCAGCGUUGUCCGGAUUCAUUGGGGCGUAAAGAGCGUGUAGGCGAUUCAAUAGGUCCGAUGUGAAAACUCGAGGGCUCAACCUCGAGAGGUCGUCGGAAACCAUUGAGCUAGAGUCCGGAAGAGGAGAGUGGAAUUCCUGGUGUAGCGGUGAAAUGCGCAGAUAUCAGGAAGAACACCGAUGGCGAAGGCAGCUCUCUGGGACGGUACUGACGCUGAGACGCGAAAGCGUGGGGAGCGAACAGGAUUAGAUACCCUGGUAGUCCACGCCGUAAACGAUGGGCACUAGGUGUGGGUGGUGUCGACUCCAUCCGUGCCGCAGCUAACGCAUUAAGUGCCCCGCCUGGGGAGUACGGCCGCAAGGCUA
rnacentral:rRNA from 1 species